AUGUCAAACACAAAGGUUCUCCAUCGCGCCCCGCCGCCGCCGACUCCAUACGCCCAGGUUGCCGUGUACCAAGACGCCGAGCCGUUGAAGCAUCGGGCCGAAGGGGCGCCGGCCGCACCAACCAACGGCAGUUUGGUCCUCAAGACGCACUGUGAGUUGCCGACCCUCGGGAGGGGCGCGUCCCGGGACAAGUUCGCGGUGCUCGUGCACGCAAGGGCGCCAGCCGACGUGGCGCGCGCACCGCUCGACCUUGUUACCGUGCUAGACGUCAGCGGCAGCAUGGAGGGUCAGAAGCUGGCGCUGCUGAAGCAGGCCAUGGGAUUCGUCAUCGACCAACUCGGCCCCGACGACCGCCUGUCUAUGGUGUCCUUCUCCGGGGAGGCGACCCGCCUGAUCCCUCUCACGCGUAUGACGGUCGCGGGGAAGGGCUCGGCCAAGCUCGCGGUUGAGGGCAUUGUCGUCAGAUGGACGGGCACCAACAUCGGCGAGGGCCUCCGUAUGGGUGCCCAGGUUCUCGCCGGACGCCGGCACAAGAGCGUCGUCGCCAGUAUGAUCCUUCUCUCCGACGGCAUCAUAAAGAACGGCGGUGCCAAGGAUUACAUGACGCUCGUGCCGCCUUUGUUCAGGCACGCCGGCACCCGGCCUGGGCCGAUCCACACGUUUGGUCUCGGCACCUACAUCGACGCCGUGGCGAUGCACAGCAUCGCGGAGGCCGCCGGCGGCACCUUCUCCUUCAUUGAGAAUCAGGCAGGGAUCAAGGAGUCGUUCGCGCAGUGCAUCGGCGGGCUCCUCUCGGUCGCCGUGCAGGAGGUGCGCAUCUCCGUGACGUGCCUGCACCGGGGCGUGCGCGUCCUGGAGUUAAAGUCCGGCUGCUACGGCAACCACGUGGGCGCCGAUGGACGUGCCGCCUCCGUCGACGUUGGCGAGCUCUACGAUGGGGAGGACAGGCGCUUCUUGGUGCUCAUGCACGUUCCGAGAGUCAGACCCACGGAGUCGGUUACCCGCCUUGUCAAGGUGAGCUGCACCUACAAGGACGCCGCGACAGCGCAGGUGGCCCACGUCGCCGCACCGGCGGCGGUGAUCAAGCGGCUGUUGGAGCUAGAGCUGACCGAAAUCCCCGCUCCAUCCAUUGAGGUGGAGCGGGAACGCGUCCGGCUUGCCGCGACACAAGACAUGGCGGCCGCACAGGUAGCCGCUGAGUGGGCAGAGUACGCCUGCGCCGUUCGGAUCCUGGAUUCUCGGCUGAAGGCCGUGGAGAAGUCUGCGCCAGGGGCGGCUGGUGAUCCGACGUGCGAGGUGCUCAAGGAGGAGCUGCGUGACCUGACCGCCCGCGUGCGCGGCCCGCUGGAGUACCUGCGGACGGGGCGCGCGUGCCUGCUGGCCGGCAUGAGCUCGCACGCGCAGCAGCGGGCCUCGGCGUCCACUAGCAGCAAGGCUCGGGCGUACCUGACUCCCAAGAUGGAGGAGAUGGUGAAGGUGUCGCGUGAGCAAAGCAGGAAGCGUGGCAGCAGCCAGCUGCCAUGGAGCCAGCUUAAACAGAUCAAGCAAGAUCCGAGCGAGAAUUUCGGAUCACGAAUUGCACAAUAA
rnacentral:rRNA from 1 species